UAACAGGAUUAGAUACCCUGGUAGUCCACGCCCUAAACGAUGUCAACUAGCUGUUGGGGUCUUCGGACCUUGGUAGCGCAGCUAACGCGUGAAGUUGACCGCCUGGGGAGUACGGUCGCAAGAUUAAAACUCAAAGGAAUUGACGGGGACCCGCACAAGCGGUGGAUGAUGUGGAUUAAUUCGAUGCAACGCGAAAAACCUUACCUACCCUUGACAUGUCUGGAAUGCCGAAGAGAUUUGGCAGUGCUCGCAAGAGAACCGGAACACAGGUGCUGCAUGGCUGUCGUCAGCUCGUGUCGUGAGAUGUUGGGUUAAGUCCCGCAACGAGCGCAACCCUUGUCAUUAGUUGCUACGAAAGGGCACUCUAAUGAGACUGCCGGUGACAAACCGGAGGAAGGUGGGGAUGACGUCAAGUCCUCAUGGCCCUUAUGGGUAGGGCUUCACACGUCAUACAAUGGUCGGGACAGAGGGUCGCCAACCCGCGAGGGGGAGCUAAUCCCAGAAACCCGAUCGUAGUCCGGAUCGCAGUCUGCAACUCGACUGCGUGAAGUCGGAAUCGCUAGUAAUCGCGGAUCAGCAUGUCGCGGUGAAUACGUUCCCGGGUCUUGUACACACCGCCCGUCACACCAUGGGAGUGGGUUUUACCAGAAGUAGUUAGCCUAACCGCAAGGAGGGCGAUUACCACGGUAGGAUCAUGACUGGG
rnacentral:rRNA from 2 species